rnacentral:rRNA from 1 species
GAGCAGACCGCGUGAGGGAGGAAGGCUCUUGGGUUGUAAACCUCUUUUCUCUGGGGAUGGUUCUGAGGGUACCUGGGGGAAUGGGGGUCGGGUGGCUCCGGGCCAGCAGCCGCGGGGAUACGGAGGAUGCAAGCGUUAUCCGGAAUCAUUGGGCGUAAAGCGUCCGCAGGUGGACUGGCAAGUCUGUUGUCAAAGAACGGAGCUUAACCCCGUGAAGGCGAUGGAAACUGCCACACUAGAGGCUGGGAGGGGUAGAGGGAAUUCCCAGUGUAGCGGUGAAAUGCGUAGAGAUUGGGAAGAACACCGGUGGCGAAAGCGCUCUACUGGACCGGAACUGACACUCARGGACGAAAGCUAGGGGAGCGAAAGGGAUUAGAUACCCCUGUAGUCCUAGCCGUAAACGAUGGAUACUAGGCGUAGCUCGUAUCGACCCGAGCUGCGCCGAAGCUAACGCGUUAAGUAUCCCGCCUGGGGAGUACGCACGCAAGUGUGAAACUCAAAGGAAUUGACGGGGGCCCGCACAAGCGGUGGAGUAUGUGGUUUAAUUCGAUGCAACGCGAAGAACCUUACCAGGGCUUGACAUCGGGCGAAUCUCGAUGAAAGUAGGGAGUGCCUUAGGGAACGCCAAGACAGGUGGUGCAUGGCUGUCGUCAGCUCGUGUCGUGAGAUGUUGGGUUAAGUCCCGCAACGAGCGCAACCCUCGUCCCUUAGUUGCCAGCAUUAAGUUGGGAACUCUAGGGAGACUGCCGGUGACAAACCGGAGGAAGGCGGGGAUGACGUCAAGUCAGCAAUGCCCCUUACGCCCUGGGCUACACACGUACUACAAUGGGUCGGGACAACGGGCAGCAAGCAGGCAAGUGUGAAGCGAAUCUCAUCCAAACCCGGCCUCAGUUCAGAUUGCAGGCUGCAACUCGCAGCCAUGAAAGGAGGAAUCGCUAGUAAUCGCAGGCCAGAAUACUGCGGUGAAUCCGUUCCGGGGCCUUGUACACACCGCCCGUCACACCUUGGGAGCCUGUCCCCGCCCGAAGUCGUUAAUCCAACCCGCAAAGGAGGAGGAUGCCGAAGGCAGGGCUAGUGACGGGGGUGAAGUCGUAACAAGGUAGCCGUUCCGGAAGGUG